AUUGAACGCUGGCGGCAGGCCUAACACAUGCAAGUCGAGCGGAUGAAGGGAGCUUGCUCCUGGAUUCAGCGGCGGACGGGUGAGUAAUGCCUAGGAAUCUGCCUGGUAGUGGGGGAUAACGUCCGGAAACGGGCGCUAAUACCGCAUACGUCCUGAGGGCGAACGUGGGGGAUCUUCGGACCUCACGCUAUCAGAUGAGCCUAGGUCGGAUUAGCUAGUUGGUGGGGUAAAGGCCUACCAAGGCGACGAUCCGUAACUGGUCUGAGAGGAUGAUCAGUCACACUGGAACUGAGACACGGUCCAGACUCCUACGGGAGGCAGCAGUGGGGAAUAUUGGACAAUGGGCGAAAGCCUGAUCCAGCCAUGCCGCGUGUGUGAAGAAGGUCUUCGGAUUGUAAAGCACUUUAAGUGGGGAGGAAGGGCAGUAAGUUAAUACCUUGCUGUUUUGACGUUACCAACAGAAUAAGCACCGGCUAACUUCGUG
rnacentral:rRNA from 1 species